GGGCCUGGUAAUGGCUUACAUCUAGGGACUUGACAUUCCUGGAUGCGGGUUCGAUUCCCGUCGGGUCCACCA
rnacentral:tRNA from 1 species